AUUUUCGGCAAUGGGGGGAACCCUGACCGAGCAACGCCGCGUGAAGGAAGAAGGAAUUCGUUCUGUAAACUUCUGUUAUAAAGGAAGAAAGGAUGCCGGAGGGAAUGCCGGCAGAGUGACGGUACUUUAUGAGAAAGCCACGGCUAACUACGUGCCAGCAGCCGCGGUAAUACGUAGGUGGCGAGCGUUAUCCGGAAUUAUUGGGCGUAAAGAGGGAGCAGGCGGUCGUAAGGGUCCAUCGGUAAAAGACCGGGGCUAAACUCCGGGAAGGCGAGGAAACCGUACGACUAGAGUACAGCAGAGGAUCGUGGAAUUCCAUGUGUAGCGGUGAAAUGCGUAGAUAUAUGGAGGAACACCAGUGGCGAAGGCGACGAUCUGGGCUGAAACAGACGCUGAGUCCCGAAAGCGUGGGGAGCAAAUA
rnacentral:rRNA from 1 species